GAGGAGUGGGUCCGGAAGCGGCGCCGGAGCGGGUCCGGAAGCGGGCGGUGGAGAAGUCCAGUUGCCCCAAAAUUCUUAGGGUGAGCGAACCGAGUUUCUGGCGGGGUGGGUGGUCCCGCGGCCCACCAAGGGAACGUCUCCGCAGCCUCGCCUCGGCGACAGCUCCUGGCUCCUUAGGUGUCUUCCGCCUCACUAGUUAGGAUGCGCGGUCUUCAGACUUGAGACAAAUCUAACCAUAAAUUUGCGCGGCCGUUAUUUUUUAAGCAAAAAUGUGAGCUAUUUUUACCCAGACAUCAUAGUUACGAGAGUGACGAAGACUCUGGCAGGAAACCAAAUAUCACCUGUUUUCCUCAAAAAGCAGCAGAAGAGUGACAAGUGAAAAAAGUUCCUAGCGGGAGACGUGCUUGGAACCGGAGAUAAUCUGUGUCUACCGCUGGUCUUCAAGGUGCUUAAUUUCGUGCCCGCUCUACAGGAAAUAACGUGCGCGGCGGAGGAGCCCUGUCCUGGAGAAUAACGCGUGAAGAAGACAGUGGACUGGGCAUUUCGUCCAGAUGAAUGAGCAUGGUAGUUAAGUGUAGAAGGUGACCUUCUUCCCUCUGGAGAGACCAGGGAGGGGGGAACCACCGGAGGAGUUUCUAGCGGUUGCAGCUACUUGAGGUUCCAGUCUAAUAACUACGAACUGUUCAUUUCAAGUAGCAUUAAAGUAGAUUUGCUACAGUAACAAUUACACUUGGCUAAGGAAAAUUUGCAAGGCAACAUGGUCUAUUGCAUAGAGCACUGAGCCACAUGUUAACACUGUAACAAACACUUGCUAUUUUGAAAUUUUACGCUUCAUCUUUUGCAAAUCAGAUGCAGGUGCAGAGUGAAUUAAGAGGAGCUGAAUUAAGAGAGAAGCUUGCAUGCACUGCUGUCAAAACCUAAACACACUGGCUUUUUUUUUUUUAACAGUUCCUUUUUUCAAGGUAUAGAUUCUGGGAAGGUAAGGGAAGAUAAAACAGCUUUUCUUUUUCUCUCCUGUUUUUUUUUUUGUUGUUUUUUUUUUGAGACUAGGUCUCACUCUAUUCCCCAUGCUGGAGUGCAGUGGCACAAUCAUAGCUUACAGUAGCCUCGAACAGCGAUCCUCUUGCCUCAGCCUCCAAAGUAGCUGGGACUACAGGCGCGCGCCACAACACCUGGCCAAGCGUUUCUUCCAGAU
rnacentral:lncRNA from 1 species